rnacentral:rRNA from 1 species
UACAGAGGCCUCGAGCGUUAGGCGGAAUCACUGGGCUUAAAGCGUGUGUAGGCGGACGGGUAAGUACCUUGUGAAAUCCCACGGCUCAACCGUGGAACGGCUGGGUAGACUGCCCGUCUUGGGCCGCUCAGGGGCUGUCGGAACAAAUGGUGGAGCGGUGAAAUGCGUAGAUAUCAUUUGGAACGCCGACGGUGAAAAACAGACAGCUGGGGGGCGUGCCGACGCUGAGACACGAAAAGCCCAGGGGAGCGAACGGG